rnacentral:rRNA from 1 species
AAUGAACGCUGGCGGCGUGCUUAACACAUGCAAGUCGAGCGAGAACGUCCUUUCGGGGACUAGUACAGCGGCGGACGGGUGAGUAACGCGUAAGAACCUGCCCUUGGGAGGGGAACAACAGCUGGAAACGGCUGCUAAUACCCCGUAGGCUGAGGAGCAAAAGGAGGAAUCCGCCUGAGGAGGGGCUCGCGUCUGAUUAGCUAGUUGGUGAGGCAAUAGCUUACCAAGGCGAUGAUCAGUAGCUGGUCCGAGAGGAUGAUCAGCCACACUGGGACUGAGACACGGCCCAGACUCCUACGGGAGGCUG